UACGGAGGGUGCGAGCGUUGUCCGGAAUCAUUGGGCGUAAAGGGCGCGUAGGUGGCCCGGUCAGUUCGUGGUGAAAGCGCGGGGCUCAACCCUGCGUCGGCCAUGAAUACUGCCGCGGCUGGAGCACUGUAGAGGCAGGCGGAAUUCCGGGUGUAGCGGUGGAAUGCGUAGAGAUCCGGAAGAACACCGGUGGCGAAGGCGGCCUGC
rnacentral:rRNA from 1 species